ACGCUCGACACCUACGGAAGGCAGCAGUGGGGAAUAUUGCACAAUGGGGGAAACCCUGAUGCAGCGACGCCGCGUGGAGGAAGAAAGUCUUCGGAUUGUAAACUCCUGUUGUUGGGGAAAAAGAGGAUGGUACCCAACAAGGAAGUGACGGCUAACUACGUGUCAGCAGCCGCGGUAAUCUGAGCGGGCUGGCAAGGC
rnacentral:rRNA from 1 species